ensembl:lncRNA
UUCUGCCUCUCCCUCCCACCUAUUCUCCACGCCAUCAAUAUUUUUUUCUUUUCUUUUUUUCUUCUUCUUAUUUUACAGUUCACGCCUUUGAAGGGAGGAAGUUUGCAGAAACCUUUGCAGAAAGAAAGCAAAAACCUGAAGCUGGAGUGAUGUGAUGUAGGGAUAGAACAAGCUGGGGGAGGAGAAGAGAAAGGAGACAAACUAGGUUUACACCUCUGCACUGUUUCCUCUAUCAUCAGUCUCCCGGUAGCUUCUGCACACACUGUCUGUCUUCUCCCCGCUGUCUUUCUCAAAAUCAGUCAAUUUCCAAAAUGGAUGGAAGGCUUAUGCUGAUCAUCCUGGCCCUGUGUAUAAUAAACAUCGACUCUGUGGAAGGGAACAAUGGUACCAAGAUCUCCCAGACCCCUGGAUCAUCUAACAGCACUCAGGCCAAUGUAACGAUUCCCUCCACCCCAUGUAAAUGCCCCAUCACUACUGCCUCGACCCCUCCAACCCAGCCUCAGCCUCAGCCUCCCCCACUCAGACUGGGGGUUCUUAAAGCAAAUUGGAAUGGAGCCUGCGAGGGGAACCUACAGAUGACUUAUUUUAACAUGAACUCAUCAACACCUUUGCCAAACGGCAUUUCUGAAAGCGUAAAACGUCUUGGAUGGUCGGGAUUGUGUAAGCGAAAGGGUUGUGGAGGCAAUCUGCAGUGGAAAGAGAUAAAAAUCUCCAAACGUCCCAACAGAGAUUCUGGAGAGGCGACCGAGCAACCCAUGGACAUCAUUGCCUUCCAGUGUACUGUGGUCCCAGAUCCUGAGCUGGUGGGUUACAAGGUGGUGGUUUCCAUCUUCUGUGUCCUGGUAUUGGUGGUGCUGAUACUUCGAUUUGGACGGCCCUCCCUUAAGGCCUUCCGUAAGAAAAUGUCAGACAGGAGACAGAGUCGGUGGAUCGGGCCUACACAGAGUCAAAGUGUCUCCUACCAUAGGGGAAAGGCUGGAAUCCAACUUAACGACAAAACAGAUAAAAGAACGUCCUUCCCUGGUGAGUCACUAACACUCCACACACUACUCUGCAAAGACCACAGCCCUUGCCUAACACAACGAAUGUAUGGCUUUUAUAGACUGAUUUCUAUAAAAUAGGACAAUUAAUUAAAAUCAUGAAGUUGUUCACUUUAAAUGAGAAUUAGGUAUGUUUGAAAGUGUUUGAAUUGCCCGGGCAGACGACUGAUUGGCUCAUCUUUCCAGGAGGAUGACAUCAUCCUGUAUAAGGAAAUAGACAAUCUACUUCAGAUUCGAGUUUCACUGCUCAGUUACUUUAAAGCCAACUUUUAGUGACACUGACCUAUAAGUUAGAAUUGGACCCUAAAGCAGCACAUUCUUUUUCGUUCUCCCAGGAUUGGAGAGACUGACGGUGAACAACAGCCGAGAACCUUCGUCUAACAGGAACAGUGACUAUGACUCGUAUAACUUAUAGUCAUCGUCAUCAAUGCCAUAUUUUACAUUCACACUAUGAACCACUGUACAUGUGUUCGUUAUAUUUUGUUAUAUAUUUUUUACCAAAAAUGUUCAAUUUUGUAUACCUAAUAAUAAUGUUUCGUACUUGUAUGUUUCUCAAUGUUAUUCAAGCGUUUGCUUUUAUUGUGUAACUUUAACCAUGCGGUUGAAUAAAAGAUUUGGACAGAUUGUACUGCUGUGUGAAGAAAAGGUUCAGGGAUGGUAAAGAACUGCAAGAUAAAAGAGAUUGAGUGAAAGGGGGAUAAAGAAGGAGUGAUAAACUGGAUUAUGUAGAGAUGAGGGAAGUGGUGAGUAAGUGGUCACGCGUGCACACACACACACACACGCUUGCACACACACAUGUUUCUGCAGAGAUACAGCUUCCUGUGCCGUUGACACCAGCAUCCUGUUUGUGUUAUUUCUGGCACUCGUUCAUUCACUCAGACUCUUGCUCUAAAUAAAUGUUUACCUAUAUCUUUACCUUUCUUACCUUUUUUUUUACUUCUCAUCCCGGAACGACCUCCAUCAUUCUUUUGUCUUCCUUACUUCCUCCAUCAGUCGCGUUCUUUAGAACCUGUUCUUUUCCUCCAUCUUCUUUUCCACUGAGACACUUUUCAGUUGUGUUUUCUACGUUUCGGCAUUGGCGGAGAUUGUUACUCUUCGGAUUUCUUUCGGCAACUGUUUGUGAGUCAGUGGAAGAAAGAGAGUGAGGCAUUUUACAUUAAAUGUAAAAUAUAAAAAUGUAAGUCAUUUAGCAGCCCUCUGCCAAAGUACAUAAGAAUGCCUUUGGAAACUAUUCAGACCCCUUCUCUUUCUCCACAUUUUGAUACCCCAUGGCAUGAUGCUCCCACCACCAUGCUUUACUAUUGGAUGAUAUUACCCAGAC